rnacentral:rRNA from 1 species
GCCAAAUUUCUAGCCUCAAACCCAACCUAUAAACUUCACUAACUUUUCCCUAUAAACUAAAACAUUUUUUCAAUUUAGUAAAGGCGAUAAAAAAAUUUUUUAGAGCAAUAAAAAUAGUACCGUAAGGGAACGAUGAAAUAAAACUGAAAUAACGAUAAAGCACAGAAAAGUAAAGUUUUUCCCUUGUACCUUUUGCAUCAUGGUUUAACUAGUCCUCUUAGGCAAAAAGAUUUUUAGUCUAACCCCCCGAACCUAGGCGAGCUACUUUAAGACAGCUUUAUGGGCCAACCCGUCUCUGUUGCAAAAGAGUGGGAAGAUCUUACAGUAGCGGUGAUAGACCAAACGAGCCUAGUGAUAGCUGGUUGCUUCUUAAAAGGAUUUUAGUCCAACUUAAAGUUACUCUUAUUCUUAAUAAAUUAGACUUUAAAGCUAUUCAAAUAAGGUCCAGCCUAUUUGAAAAAGGAUACAACCUAUACCACCGGGUUCCCUCAUAAUCCUAAAAAUAAAGUGGGCCUAAAAGCAGCCACCUUUAAUAAAAGCGUCAUAGCUUUCUUCUUAUAAUUUUUAAUCCCUUAAAUUUCCCUCAACCCUUCACCACUAAAAAGCAACUCUAUAUCCCUAUAGAAAAUUUUAUGUUAAAACUAGUAACAAGAAGCAGCCCUUCUCUUAAAUGUGCCUGUCUCCCAACACAAACCCUAUUGGAAAUUAACGUAUAUAAAACUAAAGUAAAACCUCUUCAAGAAAACCCUACUAUUACUAACGUUAACCUAACACAAGAACAUUAAAAGAAAGAUUAAAAGAUAAAGAAGGAACUCGGCAAACAUUAGCCCCGCCUGUUUACCAAAAACAUCGCCUCCUGAUUAACCAUAAGAGGUCAAGCCUGCCCAGUGACAUUUGUUUAACGGCCGCGGUAUCCUAACCGUGCGAAGGUAGCGUAAUCACUUGUCCUUUAAAUGAGGACUAGUAUGAACGGCUUCACGAAGGCUAUGCUGUCUCCUUUAUCCAAUCAGUUAAACUAAUCUCCCCGUGAAGAAGCGGGGAUACAUCUAUAAGACGAGAAGACCCUAUGGAGCUUUAAAUACUUUAAAACACCUGAAUCUGACACUAGAAACUUCCAGAAAGCUUUAUUUAACAUAUCACUUUGUUUUAAACUUUAGGUUGGGGUGACCACGGAGAAAAAACCAACCUCCACGUAGAAUGAAAUUUUCUUUCUAAGCGAUAAGCUACAUCUUUAUGCAUCAAUACAUUGACCUAAAUUGACCCAAUUUUUUGAUCAACGAACCAAGUUACCCUAGGGAUAACAGCGCAAUCCGCUUUAAGAGCCCCUAUCGACAAGCGGGAUUACGACCUCGAUGUUGGAUCAGGAUGUCCCAGUGGUGCAGCAGCUACUAAUGCGUUCGUUUGUUCAACGAUUAAAAUCCUACGUGAUCUGAGUUCAGACCGGAGUAAUCCAGGUCAGUUUCUAUCUAUAAAGAGCUUUUUCUAGUACGAAAGGACCGAAAAAUCAUGGCCAAUGCCUUUAAAUGUAAGCCAUCACUCCUUAACUUAUGCUAAAAACUUAACAAUAAAGAGCCUUUAACGAACUUUAAAACCAAAAACCUAA